GCUGGGGGAGGGGGAGGCGGUCGGGGAGGGGGGCCUGUGUUUAAACUCUCGGAGCCGUUAAGUUGGUUCGCACUCCCCCGUGCGCGCGCAGCCCGGGUGGUGGCGGCUUGCGCAUGCGUGAGUCCUGGCCGAGCGGACCGCGCGCCCGUCGUGCGCGCUCGCGGCGGAGUGGUAGUGGCGGCUGCGAGGGUGGCGGCGCACGCGCAGUUGGCGCCUCGGCUUGUCCGGGUCUCGCGGGCAUCUUGUUUUGGUCUCGCGGGCGAGUGGGACGCGCUUGGUGUGUCGCGGGAGGGAGGUGGAGGCGCUUGGGCGCGAGGCAGAGCUGCGCGCGCACUCGGGGAAGGGGCGGGAGGGAGGCGGGCUUCGGAAGGGUUUGCAGGGGGCUUCCCCGUGAUCUCGUCUCAGUCCCCUCGCCUGGGAAGGGGGAAUUAAACAGGGGGAGGAGAUGAUCGAGAUGGCGGCGGAGAAGGAGCCCUUUCUGGUGCCGGCCCCGCCGCCGCCGCUCAAAGAGGAGUCGGGCGGAGGGGGCGGCCCCGAGGUGCGAUCGCACCGAGAGGCUGCCUCCGGGGAGCCCCGCGACGGGACGGAACGCGGGCCGGGCCCACGCGCGCACUCGGCCGGGGCCGCAGCCAGCGGAGGGGGCGGCCCCCAGGCACAGGCACAUGGGGAGCCCCACGGGCGAGCCACCGCUCCUGCGGACGUGGAGGAGGAGCGACGGGGAGGGGGCGGGACGGACCUGGGUGCUCCGGCACCUCCUCGACCUCGCAAUGGCUACCAGCCCCACCGACCCCCCGGGGGUGGCGGGGGCAAGAGAAGAAAUAGCUGUAACGUGGGGGGUGGGAGCGGUGGAGGCUUCAAACAUCCGGCCUUCAAGAGGCGCCGGCGGGUGAAUUCGGACUGCGACUCGGUGUUACCCUCCAAUUUUCUUCUGGGGGGCAAUAUAUUUGAUCCACUGAACCUGAAUAGCCUCCUGGAUGAGGAAGUAAGUAGAGCGCUCAAUGCGGAGACCCCAAAGUCAUCCCCACUUCCGGCCAAGGGGCGAGACCCUGUGGAGAUCCUCAUCCCCAAAGAUAUCACUGACCCGCUCAGUCUCAACACUUGCACUGAUGAGGCCCAUGUAGUUCUGGCCUCGCCACUCAAGAUCGGUCGCAAGCGCCAUAGACACCGUGGACCGCACCACCAGCAGCAGCAGGCGUCUGGAGGGAACGAUAGCCACGCCGUGCUGCCCGCUGACCCUCUCACCCCCUCACUCCAAGGGGAGAGUGCCACGCAGCAGCAGCACAGAGGCCAGAACCGCGAUGCCCCUCAACCCUAUGAACUCAACACAGCCAUCAACUGCAGGGACGAAGUUGUGUCUCCCCUUCCAUCUGCCCUGCAGAGCUCCUCAGGCUCCCUUUCUGCCCCUCCAGCUGCCUCAGUUACCUCUGCACCCUCAUCUUCCUCCUCCCGACACCGCAAACGCCGCAGGACUUCCAGCAAGUCGGAGGCAGGGGCUAGGAGUGGAAGCCAGGGUUCCAAGGAAAAGGGCAGAGGGAGUGGGGGAGGCCGCCAUCACCACCCACCACCUGCAACUGGCUUCAAAAAGCAACAGCAAAAGUUCCAGUAUGGGAACUACUGCAAAUACUAUGGCUAUCGCAAUCCUUCCUGUGAGGACGUGCGCCUUAGGGUGUUGAAGCCAGAGUGGUUUCAAGGCCGGGACGUCCUAGAUCUGGGCUGCAAUGUUGGCCAUCUGACCCUAAGUAUUGCCUGCAAGUGGGGCCCAGCCCGCAUGGUUGGGCUGGACAUUGAUCCACGGCUUAUCCACUCUGCCCGCCAAAAUAUCCGACACUACCUGUCCGAGGAGCUUCGUCUCCAAGCCCAGACUUCUGAGGGUGACCCAGGGACAGAGGGGGAGGAAGGGACUGCCACUGUCCGAAAAAGGAGCUGCUUCCCAGCCUCACUGACAGCCAGCCGGGGUCCAAUCGCUGCACCCCAAGUGCCCUUGGAUGGAGCGGACACAUCUGUCUUCCCCAACAAUGUUGUCUUCGUCACGGUAAGAGGGUCCAAGUGUGAAGAUGAGAUUAAAUAGGAAUGUGUUGGGGGGAAGGUCAUGACCUAGAGGUUUAUUCCAGCAUCUGUUCCUACAAGAACCACCUCCUGGAGAGAACAGUAUGGAUUGGCAGAGAAUCUACUGGGUGUGUUGUCUCUCCUAUAACCUGGAAAGUGGGAUCUCUACCUUCAGGCUCUAACAUCUGGUAUUUUCUCCUGAAUCCAAGGAUCUCAGCCCCAAUAUGGGGACUGACAUGCCCUGCUUACAGUGGGGACUAUAAUCCAGACAGUCCACCUUCCCUUGAGAGUAACCUCUACUGCUCUGUCCAGGUAGAACCUUGUCCUCACAUCUGAGGGAGCAUGAGAUUGGGUGUCUUUGGGGGAGACUGGUGGCACUCCAAUACUUGUAGUUUGGGGCCUUUGAUAGGGGCCUCAUUUGCAUCAGCUGCUUUUUGUUUCCCUAGAUACAGCACACACUGCUUAAGUUACUGGUCAGGAACCAGCAGGCUUGGCUUUCGGUCUUUUCCGUGCUGACUCUGAAUAGCAGGAAAGGAGAGUUCCCAGCCUGAUAGAGCAUGUGUCCCUGUCUCCACUAGCUUUCUCCACUAGCGGUUGUUAGCCCAUCCAGAGGAAUGUGUGCGCAUGGCUUAGCCUGAAAAAAUGCCUUCCUGGAGAGUAUUGAUGAGUUUACCUUCCAGAGAAGGUUUCCUAAGUCUCUCUUCAUUGGAGAAAGAGUAGGCCUGAAACAUUAGAGCCUACUGAAGAGCCUAUAUGGAGCCACCCUCAGUCUUUAGAACCACCGCCUGUGUAUAUGAGGUCCCCUGGGCUGGGGUCUUGGGAGCACUCCAGUAUUCCCCAGUUACCCUCAGAUGAGUAGUUUGAUUUAAAUCUGCCCAGGCUCCCUUUUAGGUGUGUUUGGUUUGGCACCAGGAAAGGGAGAAGAGAGAACGAGACUGACAGAAGGCGCUGGCAGGAGGAGCCUCAGAGAAGAGGGCCACCAGGGCCCACGUGAGGGUAACUAUGUCCUGGACCGAGAUGAGCUGGUGGAUGCCCAAAGACCUGAGUAUGAUGUGGUGCUCUGCCUCAGCCUCACCAAGUGGGUGCACCUGAACUGGGGGGACGAGGGGCUAAAGCGCAUGUUCCGACGGAUCUACC